ACUCCUACGGGAGGCAGCAGUGGGGAAUAUUGGACAAUGGGGGAAACCCUGAUCCAGCCACGCCGCGUGAGUGAUGAAGGCCUUCGGGUCGUAAAGCUCUGUGGGGAGGGACGAACCGCUGCUGGUGCAUAGCCAGCAGCAUGACGGUACCUCCUUAGCAAGCACCGGCUAACUUCGUGCCAGCAGCCGCGGUAAU
rnacentral:rRNA from 1 species